rnacentral:rRNA from 1 species
UACGUAGGUCCCGAGCGUUGUCCGGAUUUAUUGGGCGUAAAGCGAGCGCAGGUGGUUUAUUAAGUCUGGUGUAAAAGGCAGUGGCUCAACCAUUGUAUGCAUUGGAAACUGGUAGACUUGAGUGCAGGAGAGGAGAGUGGAAUUCCAUGUGUAGCGGUGAAAUGCGUAGAUAUAUGGAGGAACACCGGUGGCGAAAGCGGCUCUCUGGCCUGUAACUGACACUGAGGCUCGAGAGCGUGGGGGGCAAACAGG